rnacentral:rRNA from 1 species
UACGUAGGCAGCAAGCGUUGUUCGGAGUUACUGGGCGUAAAGGGUGCGUAGGCGGCUUUUUAAGUUUGGUGUGAAAUCUCCCGGCUCAACUGGGAGGGUGCGCCGAAUACUGAGAGGCUAGAGUGUGGGAGAGGAAAGUGGAAUUCCUGGUGUAGCGGUGAAAUGCGCAGAUAUCGGGGAAGAACACUCGUGGCGAAGGCGGCUCUCUGGGACGGUACUGACGCUGAGACGCGAAAGCGUGGGGAGCGAACAGG